ensembl:lncRNA
UUGCUUGGAAUUACAGAGCCAUCCUGUUCUGCACUGUCGAAAUGGACUUCAUGUCAUUUAUAGCCUGCUUGGUCAGUCUCUUUUAAUCCUAGCAAUACAUGUGUUUAAAGGACUCUGCUUAUUUCAAGCUUUUAUCCUAGAUACUCAGUUUGUGACCUGGGUUGACCCAUGGCAUUUCACACAAUUUGAACAGCAAAAUCUAAACAGCCAUUUCCAAUCUGUCACUCCCAAGCCAUGUCUGAGUAGCUCCAAAGUCACAGGGAGGAAGGCACAGUUCAGCCCCCUUCCCCCCAACCAUUGCUACGAAAGAGCAGACAUUUCCAUUUCCAAUUAAGCCAUAAAGAGGGUUCUCUUCCUGAUGGACUUUGAAAACCAUUUCUUUCUUUCCUCCUCCAUUCUCGUGCUGUACAGUCUCCCAACCGAAUCCAUAAGCAGUCUAAACCUUCCUACAGAAGAGAGAAAGCUGGUGCUUAGUAAACCUCAAGAAUGCAAUCCAUCAUUUGAUUGGUAUUAACCUGCAGUCGGUGGUUAGCUCAAAGGAAGUUUGGGUUAGAAUUUUCCAAACGAACAUAAAUAUUCCAGGAGAGCUUCAGUGGAUCUGCCACUUAACGCAUGGAUUGGGGUGUAUUGUUAUCUGAGAGCUAAAUACGAGUCCCAUGGAAAUCCUUGCAUGCAAGCUCUGAGAACUGUGUGGAAGACUAGAGGACCAAAGAGUGUCAUGGUGAGCAGCAGCAGCAGCUGAUGGUGCAAAGCAAGCCCCUCCAUGCACACCGUGGCUCCCCACCACCCAGUGACGUCCUCACCGCUACAUCUGUCUUUCUCUUGUUUUUCCCCGAACCUGACUUUAUCUCCUAGCACAACUACGUCUGUAUUCCCUAUCCACACCCUUAACCUCUCCGUUGCUGCCCAGGCCCCUCCCUCCGUGAAGCCAGUUGAAUUCCCACAUGUAAGUGGUUUUAGAGCCAGGAAGAGAACCCAGCUCUUGAUUCAAAGUAUGGAGGUUCUCGUCCACACAACACUGCCUUCUGGGGAUGCAUUUCUAUUCUGAGAGAGGCUGUUUAGCAACCUCAAGACUCCAUUUACAGACCCACAAAACGUUUUGUAAUGAUCCCUUACUUUUAAUAUCAAUUUUUUCCCUACUUUUUAGAAUACUCCUUCAGCGAGUAGUAGAGACCCACGUAGAAGUAUAAGGAGACCAAUUAGAGAUAAGAAGAUAAGUGUAGAUGCAAAAGCUCCUUAGAGGUGCCGAUGGGUCUUUAAUCCACCUUACUACGGGACUAGAAAGCCAUUUGCUUUUUGACCCCUCACCUCAAAUGAGAGGGACGGAAGUUUGACUUCUUCAAAUAGCCUAGCUGUGGCUAUCAGCCAAGGAGGAAAGGUCAUAGGAAGGAAAAACAUGGAAGUUUGCUCUGUGAUUUGGCAAGACCAGGACUCGGCAGUCACUGGCAGCCUAGCGAAGGUGACUGAGGGCUGGCAGUAGAAUGGUGUGUAAACUUGGCUGCCGUCUGCAGUGGGAGGCCAUGUUCAAUGGCAGUCAAAGAAAUGUGUGUUCUGCACAUUGCUGUAUCUAUAAGUAUGAUAAGCAAGUGGUGACAGAAUUAUAGUAUAAGGUGACAUAUUAUAAGCAGAUCAGAGAGAAUUUGGUAUUAAGACUUAAGUAGAAAAUCUCACUCCUGGCUCGUUACUCAACAAUAUUCAGAUAAUGAGCUCGUGGAGUGCAUUUUGCCCUAUCACUAGGAAGGUUGACCUGGGAACUGUCUAAAAGUCUAUACUGAUAUUUCCAAAGCCUUUAAAUACCAACUGUAGCAUAGAGGGGGAGUGGCGGGAGCCGAGAUGCCUCAAAAGCCAUUUAAGUGUUAUGUCACAGGAUUUCCAGUCCUACUCAUUAUGUAAAAGUACAUAAAUAUAGACAUUUUUCUCAACACUACCCUAUCAUAUCACAAUGGUCCAAAUGCCAGCACUUACAGAUAAUGUCAUCACAGUGCCUAGAAACUCAAACUGUAAUAUACCGUAGCAUCUUCUUGGUGUUUCUUCACGUUUCUUUCCACAAAGCAAGGCUCCCUCUGCCUCGUGUUUCUAAGAGAGUUCACCCACUGAGGAGCCUGCCUUCCCUGUUGGACUCUGUCACUUGGGGAACAGUCAUAGAAGCACAUAGAAACCAAGGAAGAAACUUCCUGGAUAUCUGUCUCCCACUUGCCCAGGUAUAACAAACACUAAAGAGGGGAAAACCGAAGAGCUGCCAACUGGUCGACCUGGAAGGGUAGUUCUGCCCUGGAUUGGUGUCUUUCUUUUUCUUCCUUUUUUAAAAAAGAAAUCUAUUUCUUAAAUAAUAAUAAAUGCACAUGAUGUGUUAAAUAUGUACAUAUAUAUUUCAAAAAAUGGGCACAAGAUUGUCUUACGAGUCCUUCUGGCUAAUUUUUAGUUUGUAUUCAUAAGUGGUUUUUAAAAGCCUUUUUUAAAGUGUAAUUUGCAUGUUCUACUUUGAUUGUAUGUAAACAUAUUUUAGAACAAAAAUGUAUUUGUAUUUUAUUGAAUAUAGAGGCAAGAAAAAUUGUACAUUGUUUGAAAUGUUCUUUUGUAACAGUUUUUAUUCAUAAAAGCAUUUUUGUACAUUUGAAUGACCAUGGACUUGCUGUCAUUUGAGGCGUAGCGACAUCUGGCAUGCUUUACUGUCAUGCUCUCCCAUGGUCUUAGAUGUUGGGUUUUAAACAUUUUUUUUUUCUAAAAGAAAGUUCAGUCUCUUUCGCUACCAGAUCAGGUUAGCACAGUACAGAGCACUUAACUAUUAAAAAAAAAAGUUGAUCCUAUUCAUAUGUUAUUCAUUGUGUGAAAUUAAAGACAUUCAAUUCCGUCUAA